AACGAACGCUGGCGGCAGGCUUAACACAUGCAAGUCGAGCGCCCCGCAAGGGGAGCGGCAGACGGGUGAGUAACGCGUGGGAAUCUACCCAUCUCUACGGAAUAACGCAUGGAAACGUGUGCUAAUACCGUAUACGUCCUUCGGGAGAAAGAUUUAUCGGAGAUGGAUGAGCCCGCGUUGGAUUAGCUAGUUGGUGGGGUAAAGGCCUACCAAGGCGACGAUCCAUAGCUGGUCUGAGAGGAUGAUCAGCCACACUGGGACUGAGACACGGCCCAGACUCCUACGGGAGGCAGCAGUGGGGAAUAUUGGACAAUGGGCGCAAGCCUGAUCCAGCCAUGCCGCGUGAGUGAUGAAGGCCCUAGGGUUGUAAAGCUCUUUCACCGGUGAAGAUAAUGACGGUAACCGGAGAAGAAGCCCCGGCCAACUUCGUGCCGGCCGCCGCGGUAAGAC
rnacentral:rRNA from 1 species